UAAGUAACGAUAAGGCGGGUGAGAAACCCGCCCACCGAUAGACUAAGGUUUCCGCGGCAAUGCUAAUCAACCGCGGGUAAGUCGGGUCCUAAGGCGAAGCCGAGAGGCGUAGUCGAUGGCCAACUGGUUAAUAUUCCAGUACUACCGUAAUGAGCGAAGAAGUGACGGAGGAGUGAAAGUUCCGCGCCCUGACGAACGUGGGCGUUGAAAGGCGUAGGUAUAGGCAGUGUAGGCAAAUCCGCACAGCUUGCUGAAACCCAAUAGUACACAGAGGCUUCGGCCGAAGUGAUAGAGAACGUAAGCAGACUUCCAAGAAAACCUUCUAGCGUUAAUCAUUAUGGUACCCGUACCGCAAACCGACACAGGUAGUCAAGGAGAGAAUCCUGAGGUGCUCGAGUGAAUCAUGGCUAAGGAACUCGGCAAAUUAACCCUGUAACUUCGGGAAAAGGGGUGCCCUCAGCAAUGAGGGUCGCAGAGAAAUGGCCCAGGCGACUGUUUAACAAAAACACAUGGCUAUGCGAAAUCGAAAGAUGAAGUAUAUGGCCUGACACCUGCCCGGUGCUGGAAGGUUAAGGGGGGACGUUAGUCGCAAGACAAAGCGUUGAACUGAAGCCCCAGUAAACGGCGGCCGUAACUAUAACGGUCCUAAGGUAGCGAAAUUCCUUGUCGGGUAAGUUCCGACCUGCACGAAUGGUGUAACGAUCUGGGCGCUGUCUCAGCCAUGAGCUCGGUGAAAUUGUAGUCACGGUGAAGAUGCCGUGUACCCGCAACGGGACGGAAAGACCCCAUGCACCUUUACUAUAGCUUCACAUUGACAUUGGGUAAAUGAUGUGUAGGAUAGGUGGGAGACAUUGAUCCCGGGCCGCUAGGUUCGGGGGAGUCAACGGUGAAAUACCACCCUUUAUUUUCUUGAUGUCUAACCUCUAACAAGGGACAGUGUGUGGUGGGUAGUUUGACUGGGGUGGUCGCCUCCGAAAGUGUAUCGGAGGCUUUCAAAGGUAUGCUCAGUACGCUUGGUAACCGUACGUGGAGUGCAAUAGCAUAAGCAUGCUUGACUGUGAGACCGACGGGUCGAGCAGGGACGAAAGUUGGAUAUAGUGAUCCGGUGGUUCUGUAUGGAAGGGCCAUCGCUCAAAGGAUAAAAGGUACGCUGGAUAACAGGCUGAUCUCCCCCAAGAGCUCACAUCGACGGGGAGGUUUGGCACCUCGAUGUCGGCUCGUCACAUCCUGGGGCUGGAGAAGGUCCCAAGGGUUGGGCUGUUCGCCCAUUAAAGUGGCACGCGAGCUGGGUUCAGAACGUCGUGAGACAGUUCGGUCCCUAUCUGUUGUGGGCGUAGGAAGUUUGAGAGGAUCUGACCUUAGUACGAGAGGACCGGGUUGGACUAACCGCUGGUGUACCAGUUGUGGCGUCAGCUGCACCGCUGGGUAGCUAUGUUGGGACGGGAUAAGCGCUGAAAGCAUCUAAGCGCGAAACCCACCUCAAGAUGAGAUUUCCAUUAAGGGACGUCAGAGAUUAUGACGUUGAUAGGCUGCAGGUGUAAAGUCAGUAAUGGCAAAGCUGAGCAGUACUAAUAACCCU
rnacentral:rRNA from 1 species